rnacentral:lncRNA from 1 species
GUUUGAGGUCUUGUAAGGGAAACUGAAGGGAAUUGUGUAUUGAACAGGAUGGCUUAGACCUGCUCAACUUCUGAGAAUUGAGGCAAAGUGGGCAAUCCAGAUGUAUCACUUGACUUUCUGACUACUGGAAGAAUUUCCCUUCAUUAUUGCACACCAGGGGUAUCCCACAGAGAGAAGAGAUCAAAAGAAGGAUGAUCCCCACACAGAUGUGCAAGUGACUAAUUCAGUCCAGAAGGAAACCAGGCCCCCCUCACAGUGUUGAGAGAAGACAGCACCAGCCAGCCUUGUAGCCUGAGAAGCUGUCUCCUCACCAGCUUUCUCCUCACCAACUCUUCAAAGAUCCAGUUGAUACAAAAUGCACAUGCUAAAAUAUGAUUCCCCAGUCCUGUCCAAGCUGAUGUGGUCUUCUCCAAGCCCCCAGUCCUGACCAAGCUGAAUCUCCUUUGUCACUCAUGGGGCAACAGGGACUUACCUGCCAGUGCAGGAGAAAGGAGAGAUCCUUUAGAACAGGAGCUAAGAUGCCAGGAGCUCACGCAAAAUGCUUGAAGAAAGGGGCUUAGCCAGAAACCGAACUGGGAGUUGAUGCCCAGUUUAGGAAGAGUUCAAAUCGAGGAGUCAGAAGCAGCAAAUUCUACAUCAGAUCCACAAAUUCUUAACUAGAAGAAUAAAAACAAGUCAAAUCAAGUUGGGCUCAAAAGGAAUAUAGGGGCAGAAGAGGUGAUGUGCAGAUGGGUGUGCCUGGCCAAAUGGUGGGGGUAGGCACAGGCAGCACACACCAUUGAUUUCUUUGCUUCCUUUUUUAAAGAUUUUAUUUUUAAGAGCAGUUUCAGGUUCAAAGCAAAGUUAGAAGUACCAAGAUUUUUUCCAUAUACCCCUGUCCCUACAUAUGCAUAGCCCCCUCAUUAUCAAAAUCCCCUAUCAGAGUGUAAUAAAUGACAAUGAACCUACGUUGGACGCAUCAUAAUCACGUAAAGUCCUGGUGUACAUUAGCUUUCACUCUUGGUGUUGUACAUUCUAUGAAUUCGGACAAAUGUGUAAUGGCAUGUGUCCACUGUUAUGGUAUCAUACAGAGCACUUUCACUGCCACAAAAAUUUUCUGCUCUCUGCCUAUAGUUGGGGAUCAGAAACCAAUACCCCAAAAUAUGGCAUUUUGACAUGCUGAACUGAAGAAGCUUUAAUGUCUCUCUGACCUUCCUUCUUCUGCCCCACCUUCUUUCCCAAAACCUAGGAUUAUCUUGUUCCCUUAUCUGCUUAAAGUCCGAACCUGCCAAAGAAGAAAACAAUGACCUCUGCACCCUUCCCUGAGUUUCCAUUAACUGAACCUAGAUUCCAGGAAGAAAGAUUGAAGUCUGUCAACACACCUGGACAGACUUUUAUCACAAACCAUUGUCCACUCUGCUAACCCAACAGAUUUUGUCCCAGACAACUGUAUUCUCUUCAAGCCCAUUGAAUUCUCCCUAGGAAUCAUGCAUUGCCCCUCAACAGAAUUCCUCUUGUCCCUACUCACAUAGUUUGCUUUGCCGGGAUCCUAAGAUUUCUUGGAAAACCUUAGGACCAGGAGGUAUUCUUGUGGACUCAUUCUGUUUUUCUGUAACCUCAAGAUGGUGUAUAAGCUUCUGCCCCCUAAUCGGGGGUUGGAGUAAUCACUGUGUCUCCUGUGUGAAAGUAAACACAUUUGUAUGCCCUUUUCCCAAUUAAUCUACCUUCUGUGAGUUGAUUUUUUAGCGAAACUUCAGAGGGCUCUUUGACUCCUACACUAUUUAUCCCUCCCCCUCCCUUCAGCCCCUAACAACCACUGAUCUUCUUACUGCCUCCACAGUUUUACCUUUUCCAGAAGGUCAUAUAGUUGAAAUAUUACAGUCCGUUACCUUUUCAGAUUAGCUUCUGUCACUUAGUAAUAUAUAUUUAAGAUUCCUCCAUGUCUUUUCAUGGCUUGAUAGUUCAUUUCUUUUCAGUAUUAAAUGAUAUUCCAUUGUUUGAUGUACCACAAUUUAUCCCUUACCUACUGAAGGAAUACCUGGUUGUUUCCAAGAUUUACCUGGCCACCUAUGGAAUACUGUAGUUUCCAAAACUGGCCAUAAGAUAUUUCCUACUAUUCUUGCAUAUUGCAGUUGCAUAAGAAUUGCGUCCUAAGAUUUUCCAGAAAUUUGGCACUUCUCCAUCAAGACAUGGAUUCUACUUCCUCUUCCCUUAAGUCUAGGCAGAUUUGUGACUGGUAACCACAGAGCAUGGUAGAAAUUACACGGAGUGAUUUCUGAGGUUAUAAAUGAUGAAGCUCAUCUACCUCACAGGAACAUAGGCAUUGAGUCCUGAGCCACCAAGCAAGUGUCCAACUACUCUGAAACUGCCAUGUGGUGAGGAAGCCCAAACUUGAUGUGAUUUCACCUCUUCUGCCCCUAUUCCUUUUGUGCCCAACUUGAUUUGACUUGCUUUUAUUUUUCUAGUUAAGUGAAAAGAUAGCAAGGGGAAGCACUGAAGCUGCAUCGUGAGCGAGAGAUGCCCAGCCACCAGGCAGCUGCUCCACCCACCUCACCCUCAGCCUACUUUCCUCCACCCUCAACCUUGUACUUUUGUUGCUCCAACCACUGUCUGGUUACAAUCAGAGGAGAGAUUCCAAGACAGUAGCACCCAGCUAAACCCUUCCUGAAUUCGCAACUCACAAAAGUUAUAAAAGACAAUAAAAUGACUGUUCUUU